rnacentral:rRNA from 1 species
GACGAACGCUGGCGGCGUGCUUAACACAUGCAAGUCGAACGGAAAGGCCCUGCUUUUGCGGGGCGCUCGAGUGGCGAACGGGUGAGUAACACGUGAGUAACAUGUCCCUGACUUUGGGAUAACUUCUGGAAACUGGGGCUAAUACCCGAUAGGAGCUCCUGCUGCAUGGUGGUGGUUGGAAAGUUUCGGCGGUUGGGGAUGGACUCGCGGCUUAUGCGCUUGUUGGGCGGGUAGUGGCUUUCGAGGGUUUUGACGGAUAGCCGGCCUGAGAGGGUUACCGGCGACAUGAGGACUGAGAGAGGGACCAGACGCGUACGGGCGGCAGCAGUGGAGAAUCUUACACAAUGGGCGGACGCCUGUGGCAGCGACGCCGCGUGCGGGAUGACGGCUUACGGGGGGUAAACCACUUUGGCCGGAAACGAGCCGGGAGUGACGGUAAUGGGUAAGAAAGCAACGGCUAACUACGUG